CAGCUCUCAGGGUCGCACCUGGAGAGUUUCCAGUACUCUACCAGUCUCAGCUAUGGGAGGGAGAGUCCAGCGGAGGCCUACCCUUUCCAUUUUCCUAGCUUGGGCAGUGGCUAGUGAGUGGAAGGCAAUCGGCUACAAGU